CAGCAUCCUCUGAUAGACCAUGAGCAUGUGUCCUGUUGCUCUCUGGUUUGCACUACGAUGCAAAAUUAACUUCCUUUCGCUUUCUGCCUGCCUUCCCGUGGUGGCUCAGAUUGAAUUGAGGAGUACACAA
rfam:Cuculus canorus isolate BGI_N303 unplaced genomic scaffold scaffold153, whole genome shotgun sequence.